rnacentral:rRNA from 1 species
UACGUAGGUGGCAAGCGUUAUCCGGAUUUAUUGGGCGUAAAGCGAGCGCAGGCGGUUGCUUAGGUCUGAUGUGAAAGCCCACGGCUUAACCGUGGAGGGUCAUUGGAAACUGGUUGACUUGAGUGCAGAAGAGGGAAGUGGAAUUCCAUGUGUAGCGGUGAAAUGCGUAGAUAUUAGGAGGAACACCAGUGGCGAAGGCGGCUUACUGGACGGUAACUGACGCUGAGGCUCGAAAGCGUGGGGAGCAAACAGG